rnacentral:rRNA from 1 species
GCUGGCGGCGUGCCUAUUACAUGCAAGUCGAGCGAACUGAUUAGAAGCUUGCUUCUAUGACGUUAGCGGCGGACGGGUGAGUAACACGUGGGCAACCUGCCUGUAAGACUGGGAUAACUCCGGGAAACCGGAGCUAAUACCGGAUAACAUUUUUUCUUGCAUAAGAGAAAAUUGAAAGAUGCUGUCGGCUAUCACAUACAAAUGGGUCUGCGGUG